AUUUGAACUGACUGACAUUUAAUUGAAGACAUCCUUUCUGAAAGGAUUUUUAUUUAUGUUAAGUUUAAAUAACGUAAUCAUUCUUUGUCAUUGUUCCAAAGCUUGGCUCUUCGUUUUUCUAUAACAUUCCUGGUUCAAUUCUACCUCUAUAUAAAGAGGUCGAAUGAGAUGUAGAAGUUCACCCUGAUAUUCUUGAGGAUGAGUAA